rnacentral:rRNA from 1 species
AGAGUUUGAUCAUGGCUCAGGAUGAACGCUGGCGGCGUGCCUAACACAUGCAAGUCGAGCGAUUCUCUUCGGAGAAGAGCGGCGGACGGGUGAGUAACGCGUGGGUAACCUGCCCUGUACACACGGAUAGCAUACCGAAAGGUAUGCUAAUACGAGAUAAUAUGCUUUUAUCGCAUGGUAGAAGUAUCAAAGCUCCGGCGGUACAGGAUGGACCCGCGUCUGAUUAGCUAGUUGGUAAGGUAACGGCUUACCAAGGCGACGAUCAGUAGCCGACCUGAGAGGGUGAUCGGCCACAUUGGAACUGAGACACGGUCCAAACUCCUACGGGAGGCAGCAGUGGGGAAUAUUGCACAAUGGGCGAAAGCCUGAUGCAGCAACGCCGCGUGAGCGAUGAAGGCCUUCGGGUCGUAAAGCUCUGUCCUCAAGGAAGAUAAUGACGGUACUUGAGGAGGAAGCCCCGGCUAACUACGUGCCAGCAGCCGCGGUAAUACGUAGGGGGCUAGCGUUAUCCGGAAUUACUGGGCGUAAAGGGUGCGUAGGUGGUUUCUUAAGUCAGAGGUGAAAGGCUACGGCUCAACCGUAGUAAGCCUUUGAAACUGGGAAACUUGAGUGCAGGAGAGGAGAGUGGAAUUCCUAGUGUAGCGGUGAAAUGCGUAGAUAUUAGGAGGAACACCAGUUGCGAAGGCGGCUCUCUGGACUGUAACUGACACUGAGGCACGAAAGCGUGGGGAGCAAACAGGAUUAGAUACCCUGGUAGUCCACGCCGUAAACGAUGAGUACUAGCUGUCGGAGGUUACCCCCUUCGGUGGCGCAGCUAACGCAUUAAGUACUCCGCCUGGGAAGUACGCUCGCAAGAGUGAAACUCAAAUGAAUUGACGG